rnacentral:lncRNA from 1 species
AAAUUGCCUUGAAGAAAUUUGGAGGUUCUUAGUAGAAGUGUCACUUUGAAGUGGCAUCUUUACUCGUUUUUCUUACAAGCCAGAACCUUGUUUCUAUAGUUUGAUUGUUCAUCUGUUUCUUGUCCAGAAGAAUGUUUGUGACAUCCUUAUUUCCGACUUGUUAUUGGCUGAAUCAAAGCAGUGACUUUGAAACAAGGCCACCAUCAUUCCCCUCAAGAAUUAACUCAUCUUUCUGUAACUGAGAUACUGAGCAAGCAGCACAUGUUCCCCCUGGAACUGUGGAUAUAUUAUUCACUUAUCAAGUUUCCCGCCUCAGUAAGGGUCCCACUCCCGAGGAAGGACGCUGAAGAAAGGUGAGCACAAGCAGACCUCAUCCUGUGCGGAAGCCAAUGUGUGCUCCCAUCAUGCUGUGCUCACCGUGCACUCACUCCUGACAGCACCAACAGCAGCGGGUCCUUUCCAUCUCAGAGCACAUCCUACUCACACCUGUGAGUUUGACAUGGAUGCAACUGAACGUCCUCUAGAAACGUCACAAUAACUAUGCAUCCCUGCACAGUGAUGUGGGUAUUUUCCUCAACGCUGACAUCUGAAUGCUAAGAAUGGACUUCAUCCUUAUAGUACAUAAGGCAGAAAAAUUGUUUGGUUUGUUUGGUUUUUGGUUUUUGGUUUUUUGAUACAGGGACCAGUACCCCAUGCUAAACCCAUGCUCAGCUAUCACUGGGUUCUUGAUUUUUAGCAAUAAGAAUAGUAAGAGGUCAGAUUCCAAAUAUUCAGCUGGUUAAUUCCCAAGUUGGAUCAUUAAAUUAAUUUAAAUUAUAAAUUUUGAAUCUGCAGUUAGAGUGGCCUGGGUUAAAAACAGGGCCCUGGGCCAGCAAGAAGGCUCACCGGGCAAGUAUCUGCCGGUAAGCUUGCUGGCCUGAGUUCAGCCCCUAGGAUCCAUACGGGAGAAGGGAAGAACAAACUCUACAGCUGUCCUCUGACCUCCACACACACUCGUUCCUUGCAUGCAAAAUCAAUAAAUAAAAUGUAAUUCUAACCCCAAUUUUCUCUUCUAAUGGGAGAAUUAAUAAUAUAUGCUUCACAUAAAUUUUAGCAAUUAAAUCAAAGUGCAUAAAAAAUAGCAUCACUGUUUAAGAAGGACAGGCAAAUGGCUCAGUGGAUAAAGGCGUUUGCCCAAUGCUGAUCUCCACUCCUGGAAACCACAGCUCCAAGGAAAGAAGCAACUCUGGCAAGUUGUCCUCUGACUUCCACAUUCACUCUGCAUAGUAGUAUACACCCACAUGAAAUAAAUAUUGAUUUUUAAUCACAUGUCAAGAAAGGCCAUAGGGCCAGGUGUGGCGGCACACAACUGUAAUCCGGACACUCAGAAGAAUGAAGCAGAGGGUCAUAAUUUCAAGGCAAGGAAUUGCUGUGCUGUCUGUGACAGCAGUAAUAGCGCCUGACUGUGGCCAAUGGAUGAGAGGGAAUGGGACACGAAACUGACAAAAUGGAUGUGAGUAGCCAGAGAUGGGAAGGGGGAUUGUAGGGAACUAGCUUGGAGGCUUGGAAAUAGAGACUAGAAAGGUGCUCUGUGGAAAGAAAAGCAGGAGUCAUCAGCUGCCUAUGGUCUAGACUUCACUGCUUUUGCCUCCAGCGGAUUGGUGCUAAACUUGGACUCUAUGUGACAGGAUCAUUUUCUUAUUUUCCAAGGUAGCACCAAAUACUAGUUACAUUUUCUACUCUUCCCUUAUAUUUUCUCACAGAAAUCAUCAUUAAUUAAAUAGAGGGAAAUAUAGAUUUUACUAAGAUAACUAAGGACAAAGAAAAGUUAUUUCCAAGACUGCUGUUCACACUUACCUGCCCCCAGGCAUACAUGUUAUUAUGAGUCUGUGAAGGGUUGACUUUCGAAAGGAGGAAACGAGCCUUAAAAGUAAAAAUCAAUAAUAAGAGUGCUGAUCAGACCCAGACUAAGUAAGAUAAGCUACAGACAAUAUACCAUUAAAAACCACUUAACUGAAUAUAUUGGUAAAUUUUGUUAAGAAGUAAUACUUACAAAGUUAAAUUUUAAAAUGCAUCAACCAAAAAAAAUGCAUCGACCACAAUAUAAAUAAUAUACUCUUUCAACAUUACAUAUUUGUAACAUUCAUAAAAUAAUAGACUACUGAAUCCCAAAAUCAGCACAUAAAAGUUGUAUGUACAGGACUAGAGAGAUGGCUCAGCAAUUAAGAGCACUGACUGUUCUUCCAGAGGACCUGGGUUCUCCCAGACUCCCAGGAUUCCCAGAACCCACCCGGUGACACACACUAUCUGUAACUAUCUUUAACCUAGGGCAUCUGAUUCCCUCUCCUGACUUCUUCCGGCGCUGCAUGCAUGUGUUAUACGGACAUAAAUGCAGGCAAAGCACCCAAACACAUGAAAUAAAAACAAGUUUACAAAUGUCUAUUUGCUAACACAAAACUUAUUUUAAAAUGAGUGUGAAAAUACAGUUUGGCCAACUACUCUGAAACAAAAGUCUAAAGCCUCGUAAAAAUGACUUUAAUCCACGGGUGAUAACUUAGACAACAUUUAUCCAUCCUCUACAACAGCUAAUCAAUCAAUAAAUAAAUGAGCAAUUAAAUAAGGAAAAUAACAAUACAUAUUAAGAUACUGAUGAAUGAAUUCAUCAAAAAUCUUAAUUCAUUCUAGAAAAACAAAAGCAAUUUAAUCUUUUGAAAAAUCUUUUUCUAUUCCCUAAGUAGCUCUAGUCCUAGAGUAAGAAGCCUGGAAUUCAAUUAUUAACUCCUAGUUAGGACUGGCAGGCUUACAAAUGCAAUCUCAGUAUCUAGGAGACUGAGGCAGAAGGAAUGUUCAAGUCCACCUGAGCUACGCAGUUGAUACUAUCUCUUU